GAAAAAUUUGAACUUUAAAUUAUUAUAAAAUCAUUCAAGCAUUCUGUACACAUAGGACUAAGCAGAAACUAUAGCCUGAGAUUUGCUAGAAAAAUUAAAUUCCCCUUGAGCAAAACAUUUAUCACCUUAAAAUUCUCACAUUCAAAAAACCAAUGACUUGCAUCACUCAUCAUAAACCUAGCAACAGAAAUAAGAUCUCUCCCACCAGAAGCAAAACACCACCACCCAACCAAAGGGAAAAAUUGCAUCAGAUGGGAUCCUCCUUCACAAGCACAGGCCCCUUUCUUUGCCUAAAUGUCAUGACUAGUCAUACUGAUACAAUCAUAAGCUUCUAAUUGUGUCCACUCGAUCGAUAACAUCCAGAGCUUUGAUUCGGUCUAUGUCGAAGUCGAUGAUAGGAACAGAUGAAGGCCUCCUUAUAGGGAAAGGAUCUUUUUUACUUUCACUCAUUGGAGAGUGGCUAUUACUCUUAGUCAGCCUAUGGUGUUUGCUUAACCUGGUUUUUGCAGUAUCAAAUUCCUGACUCUUGCUUAUGCCGGGUGUCUUUUUCCUCUUGCUUACAUCUCGAAGCAUUUCUUGAUCUUCAACCGACAGCAUUGGGGAUGGAGAGCUUGGCUUGUUGGUAGAUAACUGAAUUGUCUUCUGAUUGGGCUAGCAAUGGUGGAAUAAGAUCUCCAGUUAAAUCUCCAAUUUGCUCGCCCAAUCAG
rnacentral:misc_RNA from 1 species